UACGUAGGGUGCGAGCGUUGUCCGGAAUUAUUGGGCGUAAAGAGCUCGUAGGCGGUUUGUCGCGUCGACUGUGAAAACCUAAGGCUCAACCUUGGGCUUGCAGUGGGUACGGGCAGACUAGAGUGCGGUAGGGGUGACUGGAAUUCCUGGUGUAGCGGUGGAAUGCGCAGAUAUCAGGAGGAACACCGAUGGCGAAGGCAGGUCACUGG
rnacentral:rRNA from 1 species